rnacentral:rRNA from 1 species
CAGCUAGUUGGUGAGGUAAUGGCUCACCAAGGCAACGAUCGGUAGCCGGCCUGAGAGGGUGAUCGGCCACACCGGAACUGAGACACGGUCCGGACUCCUACGGGAGGCAGCAGUGGGGAAUCUUGCGCAAUGGGCGAAAGCCUGACGCAGCAACGCCGCGUGGAGGAUGAAGGCCCUUGGGUUGUAAACUCCUGUCGGCUGGGAAGAACUCGUACGAUGCUCAUACCAUCGUGCGUUGACUGUACCAGCAAAGGAAGCCCCGGCUAACUCUGUGCCAGCAGCCGCGGUAAUACAGAGGGGGCUAGCGUUAUUCGGAAUUAUUGGGCGUAAAGGGCGCGUAGGCGGCCUUGCGUGUCUUUCGUGAAAUCCCUCGGCUUAACUGAGGACGUGCGGAAGAAACUGCAGGGCUUGAGUCCGGGAGAGGGGGGUGGAAUUCCCAGUGUAGCGGUGAAAUGCGUAGAUAUUGGGAGGAACACCGGUGGCGAAGGCGGCCCCCUGGACCGGUACUGACGCUGAGGCGCGAAAGCGUGGGGAGCAAACGGGAUUAGAUACCCCGGUAGUCCACGCCGUAAACGAUGGGCACUUGGUGUCGCGGGUAUCGACCCCUGCGGUGCCGAAGCUAACGCAUUAAGUGCCCCGCCUGGGGAGUAC